rnacentral:rRNA from 1 species
GAUGAACGCUGGCGGCGUGCUUAACACAUGCAAGUCGAACGAUGAAGCCCAGCUUGCUGGGUGGAUUAGUGGCGAACGGGUGAGUAACACGUGAGUAACCUGCCCUUAACUCUGGGAUAAGCCUGGGAAACUGGGUCUAAUACCGGAUAGGAGCUUCCACCGCAUGGUGGGUGUUGGAAAGAUUUAUCGGUUUUGGAUGGACUCGCGGCCUAUCAGCUUGUUGGUGAGGUAAUGGCUCACCAAGGCGACGACGGGUAGCCGGCCUGAGAGGGUGACCGGCCACACUGGGACUGAGACACGGCCCAGACUCCUACGGGAGGCAGCAGUGGGGAAUAUUGCACAAUGGGCGCAAGCCUGAUGCAGCGACGCCGCGUGAGGGAUGACGGCCUUCGGGUUGUAAACCUCUUUCAGUAGGGAAGAAGCGAAAGUGACGGUACCUGCAGAAGAAGCACCGGCUAACUACGUG